UACAGAGGGGGCAAGCGUUGUUCGGAAUUACUGGGCGUAAAGGGCGCGUAGGCGGUCUUGUAAGUCUUGUGUGAAAUCCCUCGGCUUAACUGAGGAACUGCACGGGAUACUGCAUGACUUGAGAUCGGGAGAGGGAAGCGGAAUUCCGGGUGUAGCGGUGAAAUGCGUAGAUAUCCGGAGGAACACCGGUGGCGAAGGCGGCUUCCUGGACCGACACUGACGCUGAGGCGCGAAAGCUAGGGGAGCAAACGGG
rnacentral:rRNA from 1 species